rnacentral:lncRNA from 1 species
CUCACUCAGAGAGAGGAAGGCCAUGUAACGACAGAGACAGAGCUUAGUAUGAUGUAGAUACAAAUGAAGGGACCCUCGAGAUGGCCGGGAGCCACCAGGAGCCAGCGGAAGCUAGGAGACAACAUGGAGCAGAUUCUUCCUCAGAGCCUCCAGAAGGAGUUAACCCGCUGCCAAUUCGAAUUUGGACUUCUGACUUCCAGAAUGGUGAGGAAGCACAUUUCUGUGGUUUUAAAUUACCCAGUUUGUGGUAAUUUAUUAUAGGAAACUCAUUCGGCACCCAAGCCCCUCCUCUACCUCCUUCCCCAUCCCGACCCCAUCAGGAUGCUCCACUGUCCUCUGCACACACCAGCCUUUCGUCGGUGACCUGUGUCUCAACAGGAAGUUUUGCCUGUUCGUGAUCUAACACUGGAGACCACAGAGAAUGUACGCUCAGAGAAAAAGGCAGUCAGAUUCUCUCAGAUCAUAAUGACCCCUGCCUAAUGAGGCAUUUACUUCCUGGGAGGAGAAACUUAGCUGGUCAGGUAAAAAAUCCAGACUAGAAAAUAGAUAAGUGCAGAUGAUCUAACAUGACAUCCGUAUGUUCUCUCCCCAUAGGAUUUAAAUGUUUGUGGUCAGUAUUGAAUAUAAGCACAAUCAGAGGAAAAAUAAAAUGCAGUUUAUACAUAUGUGGGAGUUUGCUUCAUCCCCAUCACUGGGAUCCUCGCAUCCUGGGACCACACCAAGGUGGGGAAGCGCCGAUUGGUCAUCUCUGUGUCUUGGAGGAAGAGCUGCCAUUCCCCGAAACGGGAUGUU